CAUUUGAAGGUGAGGUGGCGGACGGGUGAGUAACACGUGGGUAACCUAGCCCUAAAGUGGGGGAUAACAUUUGGAACAAGAUGCUAAUACCGCAUAAAACCUAACACCGCAUGGUGUAGGGUUGAAAGAUGGUUUCGGCUAUCACUUUAGGAUGGACCCGCGGUGCAUUAGUUAGUUGGUGAGGUAAAGGCUCACCAAGACCGUGAUGCAUAGCCGACCUGAGAGGGUAAUCGGCCACACUGGGACUGAGACACGGCCCAGACUCCUACGGGAGGCAGCAGUAGGGAAUCUUCCACAAUGGACGAAAGUCUGAUGGAGCAACGCCGCGUGAGUGAAGAAGGUUUUCGGAUCGUAAACUCUGUUGUUGGAGAAGAAUGUAUCUGAUAGUAACUGAUCAGGUAGUGACGGUAUCCAACCAGAAAGCCACGGCUAACUACGUG
rnacentral:rRNA from 1 species